CCCGAAUCCCGCCCACAGCACUAACUGCCCGCUCACUGCCCGCUGAGCGACGGUCCACCCCCCCGCCACCGAGGGCAUUCUGUGAGAUGUAGUCCUGCGCCCUACGGGGCGCAACUACGAGUCCCAGAGCGAGCCGCGGUGAGGAGAGCAGGGGAGGCGGAGUCGGCGCCAUUUUGAGAGUGAGGGAUUGCCCUCCGUUCCCAUCCCCCACCGCCGGCCGGGGGUGCGUCGCUCGCCGGGACGGCGGAAGACGGGCUGGCGGGCGCUCGUGUCUUGAGAUGCUUCAUGCUGAAAGUAGAGUAAGGCUGUUGGAGUGUCAGGAUGAAAUCACAACUGAACCAUGUUCUAAAAAGAUGAAGUCAACGGAAGGGGCUUUUGAGAACCUCUCUGACUGUGGCAACCAAGGCACUCAAGAAGGGGACCCUGACAGAACCUCCAAUGAUUUGAUACCAGUGUGUGUUUCAGAUAAUGAAGGGGAUAAUGAAGUGCAGAAGCAAGAGAAAAUACCUAUGAAUGUCUUUGGAGCAGCGAAUGAAGUGCUUCCAGAAGGUAAUCUAGAGUUUCAUCAAACAGUUGAUUCUGUGAUUGUGCAGAACAUAAAUCCUCCAUUUGUAUCAAUAAAUGACACUGAGGAUGAAGGAAAGGAAGAUCCUCUUACUGCGAAUGAUGUCAAUAAAGAUAGUACUAAAAAUAGUUGCAUAGCAUUCUCAAUAAAUAGAAAUGAGUCAGAUGGAGAGUUUAUUACAAGCAAAGAAUUUAUUGGACCGAUUUACAAGCCUGCUGAGUGUAAUUCACAGGACCAGUCUGGGAGCUGUGAUGAGUAUCAAAGCAGUGUGGGAGAUGGCACACAUGAAAACAGAACUGAAGGAACUGAGACAGAGAAGGUGCCAGCCAUUUCUUCUGCUGUAUCAGGAAUGGAUGAUGAACUGGACCAGUUCUACAAAGAAAUUCACCAGCUGGAAAGUGAAAAUUUAAAUCUGCUUCAGGAAGAAGAAACUGAAACUUCUCAGGAACAAUAUUCUGUGUAUAAUUGCAGUCAAACAUCACAAGAGGAUUAUCAACAUGUAUUGUUGGACAGCCCACAAUCAUUUUACAAGAACGGACAAUAUUUCUUUGGGGAACAGGGAAGUCAGAAAAUAAGCAGUGAGCAACAGUUUGUCAUGGAAACAAGUGGCUGGAAAACUGAAAAUGCCUUUAAUGGACAAAUAGAGUCUAAUUAUUCAGUGCCUGAAUUCAGACCUGCCUGGCAAUCAAGGGAGUCUUUCAUAGUACCUCAGGGGCCUCCUCCUCCUAGACUGACCCAUCAGGCACAUUUUCAGAUAUUUAAUUCCACACAGCAAAAAACAGAUGCUUUUCCUUCUCAGAAUGAUGAACUUUCUUAUGAAAAUUACUAUGGUUACCAUGAAGAUCGGGAUAUCAACUGUCAUGGUGCAGUGCACGAUCAGAGUAGCUACAGUGUUGGUCAUACUGAUUUCCAAAAUACUCAGGUCUUUAGAAAUGGAAAUAAUCACCAGAGUGGACUCCAAAGUAAUGGUUUCUGUGAAACCAGAAAAGAGUAUUGGGAGGAACCAAAACCUUACAGUGCAGAAGGAAUGCAUAGAUUUUCUUUCCUACCUGAGGAGAGGUUUGAUUGUUCACAGAAAGUGCUCCUUAUCUUAAGAGGCCUGCCUGGGUCGGGGAAAUCAACUCUGUCUCGUUUUCUGCUCGAUCACAGCCAUGAUGGCGUUGCACUCAGCACCGAUGAUUACUUUCGUCAACAAGAUGGAUAUACAUAUAAUGCUGCUCAGCUGGGGGAUGCCCAUGACUGGAACCAGAAGAGAGCCAAACAGGCGAUGGAGCAGGGAAAAUCUCCAGUUAUAAUAGACAACACUAAUACUCAAGCCUGGGAGAUGAAGCCAUAUGUGGAAGUGGCUCUAGAAAAGGGAUACAGAGUGGAGUUCCGUGAGCCAGAUACUUGGUGGAAAUUUGAUCCUGAAGAAUUGGAAAAGAGGAAUAAACAUGGGGUCACUCGUGAGAAGAUUGCUCAGAUGUUGGAACGAUACGAAUAUCAAAUAUCCAUUCCUGUUGUCAUGAAUUCAGAGUUACCUCCUCACAAACACACACAGAGGCCACUUCUGCAGCGAAGACAUAGGGAGAGAAUUUUAAAGAAAAGCCACGGGCAUCCCUUGGCAAAAGUAAAGCAGAGGAAAAAGCGAAAAAGAAACAAAAAAAUGAAGAUGACAGAAAUCACAAAGCAGAAUUUAAGCGGAGCGGCUCGUCUCACUCCAGACAACCAGGAAACAUCUGAAAGUGAGGGGGAUGACUCGGAAGAGGAAAACAGAAAGUCCUUGUGUGCAUCUGGGGAAGGUGCUGAGGAUCCCGUGGGAGGUUGUGAGGAGCAGCCGAAUGGUGAUAAGGAAAGCGGGACAGAAGCUGUGAGCUCUCCAGUCACAGAGAUGUCAGCUGUAUCCAAUGGGGUGCUGACACAUGAAGUGCCUGCAGAAAGUGACAGCUCACUUCUAACGGAUAAGAAACCCUUUUGUACUGGAAGCACGACCAAAAACGUGUUUGAUGAUGAGGAAGUGAAUCAAAAGCAUAGGGAAAAUCUUUGUAAGAGCAGUACCCUGAAAGUAAAGAAUGAUGGAAGUUGUAUCCAAGAAGCAGAAUGCAACUGUGAAGGUAACAGCCUACUGUCCAGCAUAGAAAGCAAAAGUACAUGUGAACCUGACAUGGAAGCUGAACAAUUACUUUUAAAUGGUGAAGAAAAAGAAAUAUCUCUCUGUCACAAUUCCAAAGUGCAUUACAACGUGCCUGGUAGUAACACAGACAAUAAAAGCGCAGUGAAAACAGAAGAGAACUGCUCUAAUGCCUGGGCUUUUUUUUCAAUUAAUUUAUCUACUGAGGAAUUACAGCAGGGUUUUGAUGCACAACUUUCUUCUUCUUGGUCUGAGGAUAAGUUGGUAGGUGAACAAAGACAGAAAAAAGCGAGGAAGCCCAAACAGAUGUGCACCAACAGUUCAGCAAAGAUGAACUGCCUCCAGCACAGUGAGAGACUGGUAAAGGAGAACCACCAGGAAAAGGUGACUGAGAAGGCAGGUAAUACACAGAGCAAUGGUGUGUUGGCAUCUUUGCCUGCUGAAGUGCACGAGGUUUCACUUGUGGAACCCAGGAGCACCUCCACGCACUGUUCAAUGCCAGUAAAUGAUGCUGCACCAGUUGCACCAAAGAGAAAAAGGUACAGAAGAAUAGUCAACUUGGCACCCAAAUUUAAUCUGCCCAGAGAGAUUGCUGGUGGUACGGAGGGAAGGGAGGAACUCCCACUAAAAGGUGAUGGUCCCUCAGAAAGUGUAUUAGAAGUGGAGCAAAAGGGCUUUCUGCAGCAGGACCGUGGAUUGGGGCGUGAACAGAACCUGGUGUUUCAGGAGUAUGCUGCACCAUACAGUGGCCCUGAGGCCUCCCAUUCCUUGCCCACCCCUCAUGUGGAUUCCCCCUUACGAGCUAUUUCAUAUUUUCAUUUGGGAAGGUCUUCUCCAACACCAAAGUAUUCUUGUAGUGUUUGUGUGAUUUCCAGAGCAAAGGAGGAGCGAGCUCAAACUCCAAGGGAGCAUCAGGCAGUUGGUAACAAAGAUGAAGGUGAAAUCUCCUCAGAUGUCAUAAGCAGCCAACCAGAUAUUUUGUCUUCUGUUCAAGCUGUUUCUGAAUAUGCAGAAGAUCCGAGCAUCUUGGAAAGGCGUGUUGCAAAUGUGCACAAAGCAGAUGGCCCUGAGCCAUCAGCGGCCUCUCCACCCGCAUUUAAACAAGAUGUGAAUAUGAAAACCAGCUUCCUGGGACUUCCCUUAUCCAUAGGAUUUGCUUUUCAACUUGUGCAGCUCUUUGGUUCUCCAGGUCUUCCGCUGGAAUCCUUGUUGCCAGAUGAUUAUGUAGUUCCUCUUGACUGGAAAGUUUCAAAGAUGAUCUAUUUACUGUGGAAGACCUCUGUGGAGGUACGAAUUUUAGGGGAUUUCGGAAGGCUUUGCAAUAUUCCAGGUGUAAAGAGAAAUCACUCAGUUCAUGAAGCAAGGUUCUACUCUUUGCUAGCAAACUCUCCUUUUUUAAUAUCCACAAUGAGGAGAUGGGUGCUGUAUGUACACUUCUGGGUAUUUCCAAAACCAGUUCAUGCCAUGGGAGGAUCCAGAUUUUGGAAGUUCAGCUUCAGAAGUACGUACAAAGUAGCUGUGGGGGAUUAACAAAACUUAUAAAGUUUCCUUGAUCUUUCUGAUCUGGCCUGUGAUCACUAAAUACAACGCACUGGAUCUAAUGUCUUCCUCCUCAUGGUUUUCUCCCAUCAUCUGAGCAAGUGCCACCCUCUGCAAACAGCAGCAACUUCGUGGCUACUCCUGCCAUGACCAAAGAGGUCACAGAGUGACUGAUGGCAGCUUAACUUUCCUUGUCUAAUUAGAAAUCAUGACUUACAAAUUACUCCUGUGCUGCUUCCCACUGCUGCUUUGUAAAGGUUUGAUCUUACUUGAGGAGCAGUGGAAAUGAGGAAAAUCCUGCAGGUACAAUGACAUAGUAAUCUAAAAUAGAACACAGAUUUUGUUCUCUCCCAGAAUAGCAAAAUCUCUUGUCACAUACUCUCUUUUUCUCUGGACUGUUGUUAUGUAUUUCAGGAGAAGCAGAAAGCAAAUGGGUUGCAGAGUGGAAGUGCCUUGGCUGCUGAUGUUAUUACCCUUGAAGAUCUAAAUGAAAGUCACCACGAGAAUGAAG